GCAAACUUGGUCAUUUAGAGGAAGUAAAAGUCGUAACAAGGUUUCCGUAGGUGAACCUGCGGAAGGAUCAUUAUCGAGUGCGCCUCCCGUAAAAAGGGGGUACCUCCCGUCCUUUGCUGGCCUCUUAGGGGGUUUUCAAACUUUUGCUUCGGCGGGGUAACCCGCCGGAACACCCUCAAAAACUCUUUGGCAAAUUGUUCCGUCCGAGAGCUUUUUAUGAAUUAGCGGAAAACUUUCAACAACGGAUCUCUUGGUUCUGGCAUCGAUGAAGAACGCAGC
rnacentral:misc_RNA from 1 species